GUAGAUAUAUGGAGCCUUGGAUGCACAGUUUUGGAGAUGGCAACAACAAAACCACCUUGGAGUCGCUGCUAUUUUUAAGAUUGGAAACAGCAAGGAAGUUCCAGCAAUUCCCUAUCACCUGUCAGAUGAGGGCAAGGAUUUUGUGCGGCAAUGUCUACAACGCAAUCCACUCCACCGUCCAACAGCUUCUCAGCUCUUGAAACAUCCCUUUGUCA
rnacentral:misc_RNA from 1 species